GGGAAGGGGGAGGGGAAACGGGGAUAACCUGCGCUGCUGCUUCGGCUCCUGUCACUAGGGUUGCUCAGUCAAAAUGGCGGCCGUUGCCUGUGACGUUGCGACCGCCCCUUCCUAAGGGAGCCAAUGGUAGUGGGGUUGAUGGGGCAAUGACGUAACGAUCUACCAAUAGUCGCUGGCUAAAGAUGGGUUCUGUAUAGGCGACCGGCAAGCUGGAACACCAACCUGGGAAGAGAGUGAGCCACAAGGACCAAUUGGGGCCUGUGGGGGAUCUCAAGGGCGGAGCUACUAGCUUUGGCAUUUUUGCUUUUUGGUGGGCUUGGACUUCCGUGAGCCCCACCGCCCGGCGCUCAGGAGGCUUUGCAGAGCGUCACGCUGGAGAGCGAAAGGAUGCAGACCUUUUAUUCUCAGGUGGAAAGGAUUAAGCUUUGUGAAAUGUUAGCAGAAAAGUAUCGAUCUCCGGAAAAUAAUUUGGAGAUCAGAUUGGACUUUUAAAUGAUACUGAACAGAAUUACGAUGUGUCACUUUAUGUGUGAAAUGGAGAGAUUGAGUCCCAACCCAGUUGUCUUGCAGAACACUAAUGGCUUAAUGGCUUACGUUCCAUAGUUUAACCCUUAUGUACAGUUUUAUACUCGUUCAGAGUCAUUCGAGGGACUAAGGUCCUCGAAAGAGGGAGCACAUUCUAGGAGGUUGAUGUAUACCUAUUGGGCUGACUUUAUGUGGCAGAAACAUGGAUUUAGUCAUGAAGCCCUUCUGAAGGAGUAGAAGCCCCCCGAUUCCCAGGUAUGUUUCUAAAGAAAGUUCAGAUAAAAUAUGCUAUUAUACUUUGGGAGGUUCAAUUAGGUUAAGAAAAACAAAGUAGUGGCCAGAUUAUUUAUAUUCAGGGGAGAAAAUUCUACACAAAAGAUGUCUAUUUGAAGAGCUCUUAUGGAGUAUUUGAUUUUUUCCCUUCUAGUUGAAUCUAAUUUUGUACAAUCUGGAAUGCAAAGAAAAACUAACACAGUGAGUUGGGCUGUUAGAAAAAGGAGAUUUCUGACAGAAGUGACUCUCACUUUGUGUAUUAUAUUCAUGAGAAUUUUACUGCUUUCUAGGAGAGAUGGCUCCCGCAGUUAUCAAUAAAAAGUUGUGUUUGGUCUGUCUCUUUCCAAAUUACAUAGACAACCUGGAACUCACUUAGGAAAAAAGACAGACCAAGACCUUGAAAAGAACUGGGGACACAGAAAUAAAGAUGCAUAUAUACACGUAACAGAUAAUAGAAAUAUAUCAAAAAGCAGUAUAACUUAUUUCAGUAUUAAAGCAAUUACUUUUAUUCUUUAGGGAGUAAAACACAUUUUUAGAAAUCAUAUGAAUAUAUACUUAUGGGCAUUUUAGCUGUGUGGAAAAGGGGAAAAACAAAUUUUUAUCUGUUAUAAUUAGGAUCUUCUUUAUAGUUUUCUUAAAAUUUGAUGUCAGAAAGCAUGCACGGGAGCCUGCGGAACCGCAGCCAUGCCAGCAAAACCCUCAACGGGCAUCUCUGAGUUCACUGUGAUGGCUGCAGACCAGCCACUGGAGAUCAUUCUGCACCUCCCACUGCUGUGUAAAGACAAGAAUGUGCCCUUCAAGCAGGCCCUGGGGCAGACCUGGGGGGUCUCCAGGCCUGUCAUUGCCUGUUGUGUCACUAUCAAAGAAGGCUCACAGCUGAAGCAGCAGAUUCAGUCCAUUCAGCAGUCUACUGAAAGGCUCUUAGUCUAAACCUGUGGCCUUUGCCACAUUCUCCCUGCUGACUCCUCCCCCUGAGGUUGUGUAUCAUAUUGUCUGUGUUAGCAUGUAUUAUUUUCAGCUACUUUCUAUUGUUAUAAAAUAUUGUAGUACUA